GGCAGUGGGCAUUUGGACUAUGGAGUUCUUUAUUUGGGGUUUCAGAUCAGAGGGAACUGAAUGAAGACCUGAAGCCAGAGGCACCAUCCUCCCUACCCCAAGACUGGAGUUCUCUUGGAUCCCUUGUUUAAGGCCUUAGUCCUACAUUGUAUGCAGAGGAAUGGACUAGACAUCUGAAGCGGCUUUGUCCUUUGCUUCUACAUGUCUGCUUUCUUCAGCCUCCAGCCAGCACAAAGGUGGAAGAUGGAAUGAAUCUGACUCCACUUCCGAGAAUGGGCUUGUGGGCUUCCUCUCAAGAGUGCUCCUCUCUGACUCCUGGCAAUAUUCCAAACUGACUCUGACUGAUUCACUGAAGCACUUUUUAUGCUUGGUGUAAAAGAUUCACUCCUCCUCUGAGAGUGGGAUUAUGGAUUUCUGACUUGGGAAUCACAUACUGAAUACUGACUUGUGAAUCUCUCAAAAGUGUGAACUCCAAUGAGUACUUAAAUAUAUUAGUGAACUAGAGGAUUUGCUAAAUACCAUGCUAAAUUAGGCA